UCGAGCACGCGCGUGUGGCAUAUCAAUAAGCGGAGGAAAAGAAACUAACAAGGAUUCCCCUAGUAACGGCGAGUGAAGCGGGAAGAGCUCAAAUUUGAAAUCUUCAAGGUUUUACCUUGACGAAUUGUAGUUUAAAGAAGUGUUUUCUGUUGAAGUUUUGGUAAAAGUUCUUUGGAAUAGGACAUCAUAGAGGGUGAGAAUCCCGUAUUUGACCAUUAUUUCCAGCCUUGUGAUACACUUUCAAAGAGUCGGAUUGUUUGGGAAUGCAGUCCAAAAUGGGUGGUAAAUUUCAUCUAAAGCUAAAUAUUGGCGAGAGACCGAUAGCGAACAAGUACCGUGAGGGAAAGAUGAAAAGAACUUUGAAAAGAGAGUUAAACAAUACGUGAAAUUGUCAAAAGGGAAGCGUUUGACACCAGUGUUGUUUUCUCGAAAAUCAAUUAAAAAUGAUGGGAUUUUGUGUUGUAUUGACUUUAUCAGCUUUCUGCACUUUUUUCUUAUCUUUUUUAAUGCACUUUUCGUUUAACAAGUCAACAUCAAUUUCUUUUGUUGUAGAAGAGUCAUUGGAAGGUGGCUUUUUCUUCGGAAAAAGUGUUUAUAGCCUUUGGCUUCUGCAAUCGGAGAGAUUGAGGUCUGCAGCGUAGAUCCUUCGGGGUUAGAUACAUUUGUGCCAAGCUAUAGUUCUUUAUAGACAACUUGUUGACUAUAAUCAAUCCUGUAACUUACUCGCUUAUGCUAUUUUACCUACGCUUAGGAUGUUGAACUCUAUCACACACAG
rnacentral:rRNA from 1 species